rnacentral:rRNA from 1 species
UUUUAAGUUUGAUCAUGGCUCAGAGUGCAACGCUGGCUGGUAGGCCUAACACAUGCAAGUCGAACGGCAGCACAGGAGAGCUUGCUCUCUGGGUGGCGAGUGGCGGACGGGUGAGGAAUACAUCGGAGUCUACUCUGUCGUGGGGGAUAACGUAGGGAAACUUACGCUAAUACCGCAUACGACCUACGGGUGAAAGCAGGGGACCUUCGGGCCUUGCGCGAUUGAAUGAGCCGAUGUCGGAUUAGCUAGCUGGCGGGGUAAAGGCCCACCAAGGCGACGAUCCGUAGCUGGUCUGAGAGGAUGAUCAGCCACACUGGAACUGAGACACGGUCCAGACUCCUACGGGAGGCAGCAGUGGGGAAUAUUGGACAAUGGGCGCAAGCCUGAUCCAGCCAUACCGCGUGGGUGAAGAAGGCCUUCGGGUUGUAAAGCCCUUUUGUUGGGAAAGAAAUCCAGCUGGCUAAUACCCGGUUGGGAUGACGGUACCCAAAGAAUAAGCACCGGCUAACUUCGUGCCAGCAGCCGCGGUAAUACGAGGGGUGCAAGCGUUACUCGGAAUUACUGGGCGUAAAGCGUGCGU